rnacentral:rRNA from 1 species
ACGUAGGAGGCGAGCGUUAUCCGGAUUUACUGGGCGUAAAGGGCAAGUAGGCGGUGGCCAAAGUUGGGCGUGACAUCUCCCGGCUCAACUGGGAGGGGUCGUUCAAAACUAGGUCACUAGAGGGCAGGAGAGGGAAGCGGAAUUCCUAGUGUAGCGGUGGAAUGCUCAGAUAUUAGGAAGAACACCAGUGGGAAGGCGGCUUCCUGGCCUGUACCUGACGCUGAGAGGCGAAGGCUAGGGUAGCAAACGGGCUUAGAUACCCUGGUAGUCCCUGAGCGGG